UCCCUGGUGGUCCAGAGGCUAUGACUCUGUGCUCCCAAUGCAGGGGGCCUGGGUUCAAUCCCUGGUCAGGGAA
rfam:Ovis aries breed Texel chromosome 15, whole genome shotgun sequence.